UAGAGGAAUUGUGUGAAGUUACUGCUAAUAACUUUGAAUCAAUUAGAUUUGAUGUUCUUCUUUUAA
rnacentral:tRNA from 1 species